rnacentral:rRNA from 1 species
UGUAAGCGUAUACCAAAGUUGUUGCAGUUAAAACGCUCGUAGUCGGAAUUUGGCAGUUCCGGAAGUGUGCACGUCGUGUGCGCACUUUGCGGGGACUGCUUUUGUGGUCUUGCGUAGGAUGAGGCACUUUCAUUAGUGAACGUCCUCACGCAACCACUCUUUACUGUGAGAAAAUCAGAGUGCUCAAAGCAGGCAUUUGCCGUGAAUGUAUUAGCAUGGAAUAAUAGAAUAGGACUCGGUUCUAUUUUGUUGGUUUGUUGGGACUGAGUAAUGAUUAAGAGGGACAGUUGGGGGCAUUUGUAUUCCGGCGCUAGAGGUGUAAUUCUUAGAUUGCCGGAAGACAAACUGCUGCGAAAGCGUCUGCCAAGGAUGUUUUCAUUGA